rnacentral:rRNA from 1 species
AUUGAACGCUGGCGGCAGGCUUAACACAUGCAAGUCGAACGAGUGGCGGACGGGUGAGUAAUGGUUGGGAACCUACCUUAUGGAGGGGGAUAACUACUGGAAACUGUAGCUAAUACCGCGUACUAUAGGAUGUGCCCAAGUGGGAUUAGGUAGUUGGGGGGGUAAAGGCUCACCAAGCCGACGAUCGCUAGCUGGUCUGAGAGGAGGACCGGCCACACUGGGACUGAGACACGGCCCAGACUCCUACGGGAGGCAGCAGUGGGGAAUUUUGCGCAAUGGGGGAAACCUGAUGCAGCCAUGCCGCGUGAAUGAUGAAGGCCUUCGGGUUGUAAAGUACUUUCGGUAGAGAGGCGUUAUCUGAAGAAGAAGCACCGGCUAACUACGUGCCAGCAGCCGCGGUAAUAC